rnacentral:rRNA from 1 species
UACGAAGGGGGCUAGCGUUGCUCGGAAUUACUGGGCGUAAAGAGUGUGUAGGCGGUGCUCUAAGUUCGGUGUGAAAUCUCCUGGCUCAACCGGGAGGGUGCGCCGAAAACUGGAAUGCUAGAGUAUGGGAGAGGUAAGCGGAAUUCCUGGUGUAGCGGUGAAAUGCGUAGAUAUCAGGAGGAACACCUGUGGUGUAGACAGCUUACUGGACCAUCACUGACGCUGAGACACGAAAGCGUGGGUAGCAAACAGG